UACGAAGGGGGCUAGCGUUGCUCGGAAUCACUGGGCGUAAAGGGUGCGUAGGCGGGUUUUUAAGUCUGUCGUGAAAUCCCCGGGCUCAACCUGGGAAUGGCGAUGGAUACUGGGCAGCUAGAGUGUGUCAGAGGAUGGUGGAAUUCCCGGUGUAGCGGUGAAAUGCGUAGAGAUCGGGAGGAACAUCAGUGGCGAAGGCGGCCAUCUGGGACAACACUGACGCUGAAGCACGAAAGCGUGGGGAGCAAACAGG
rnacentral:rRNA from 1 species